CUUUUCCAAUAACUAUUUUUAUACUUCCUUUUUCAUUCAUAGGGGACGUGAGACUUGCUCCACCAAAACAAUCAACCCUAACAAAGAAGCCUUUAUGAAGGGUCUUCCAAGCAUAAGAUUAGUUGUAAGCUACAUUGCUUUAAUGUCAUAAUCUCAGUCGUCGCAUGGCCACUCGAUCUGAAGCGGGGAUGAUAUGUUUAUUUUGAAGAAUAAAGGUGGAGAAGUUCUAUAGCUUCUGGAUUGGAAAACGAUUUGAGGGAGAACAGGGCAUGUAAUUGAAGAAGAGGGAGAGGCAGAAAAAUGUGAAAAAAAUGAAGAAGUUUUCAGGAAGAAUCGACCGUGCAUUCAUAUGAAUGAAAUCAUUGCAGUGCUGUGAAGCUGAAAUCAAGUGCCCCAGAUUGAUUAUCCGAGGGAAAGGUUGGUUCUUCAGCUGAUUCAAAGAUGAAAUCUGUCUCAACUUUGACAAAAUCUGAGGUUAAAUCUGAAACGACAUCAUCGUCUAUAAAACCUGUGACAAAGUCUACUACGUAAGUGACAGAGAAAAAAGUCUAUAGCCUGCCCGGGUAGAAACAUGGUCCUCCAGAACAGGUUCUUUGGCCUUUGUAGACAGAAAGAACCCCUAAGGAUUUUCUAUGAGUCAUUGUCAAAACAAAUCCCACCAAGUGAAAUGGCAGAAUUCUGGUUAAUGCAACAUGGGUUGCUGCCUUCUGAAAGAGCUAAGAAAGCAUUUGAUAAGAAACAGAGGAGGCAGAAGGAACUGCGGACAGGAACUCCGGUUAAAACUGAAACUUCCCAGAAGGUCAUCUACUUCAGGUUCGACCCACUAGACGGUGUGUAUAAAGAAGAAUUUGUAAGGAGACUCACUUAAUGUAACUUCUGAACCUCGAGUGAAGUAGUCUAUGAUUAUCGGCCGUGAAAAUACCUUAAAGAACAAAAAGGUGUCAUUGAGAAGGCAAAAGAUGAUUAUUUUAUCACAGAAGAAAAGUAAAUCCUCCUGCAUGCUGCAGUGCAGAUAUCACCUGAAUUCCAUGUGAAUAGAACAUGCAUGAUCAUCAGAGAACAUCGAUAAGAAUCUUUUUUUUUUGUUAGAGACCAUAUUAUGCUUGUUGCUUGAGAUACAUUUAUUAUUGCAUCUUUAAUUCGGUAAUUAGAGGCCCCACUGACUAGAUAUGUAAUCAAUGUGUGCUACAUCCUCCAUGUAUGGCAUGGGCAAUGCAUGUGACAGAUACUGGAAGAAAAAUAUCUAGAGAAGAAUUGAAGCACACCACCCAAUGAAACAAAACCGUCACACACACCCUGCAAUCUGCAUGCAGCUGCUGAUUUUAUAUUUGUAAUAUCCAUGAAUGUAAAUUUUAAAGGCAUUGAGUUUGGUUUUCGGCACAUAAAUGAUUAAAUGUAGAAGAUCUAAGAACAUUGGAAUAUGGGAUUAUCAAUACCUUUUCCU